rnacentral:lncRNA from 1 species
CCCCAGAAGAGGUAUAGUUGGAUCAGAUGGAACUAGAUCUUUCUUUAUAUACAUCUGCAUUCUUGUUUUGUUUGUGUGUUUUAUUUUUUGUGCUUCUGGGGAUGGAACCCAGGAUUUUGGGGCUGUUAGAUAAGUGUGCUACUGAGCCACACCUGCAUCCUCUAAAAGCCUUACCAAAUACCACAGACCACACUGCACCUGUCAGUAAGUCAAAUUUGUUGAAUUGAACUGAGCCUCAUAUUUCUUUUGUUGUUCAGUACUGGGGAUUGAACCCAGGGGAGCUGUGUCACUGAGCUGGAUCCCCUUUCUAUUUUUAAUUUUGAGAUGGCCUUGCUAAAUUGCUUAGGUCAGCCACAGACUUGUACCCUCCUACCUCAGCCUCCCUAGUAGCUGAAAUUACAGCCACCGCACUCAGCUUCAGUUUCUUGUUUAACCAAGUUUUAGGCUUCUAAAAUUCUAAAAGACUUCUAAAUUAUUCUUCUUAUGGUUUUAUUAUUGUGACGUUCUGGUUAGCCCUUAAUUUUACCUUUUUUCAAUGACAUGAGAUUUCAUUAAGCAGUGACAAGUGACAUAUACAUAUGAAAAGAAACCAUAAUGACCAUUUAUAUUUUGCUAGUUCUGACACUACAAGUUGGAAAAGAUACAAACCCUGGAAGAAUGGCAUUCCUUACCUACAAAUGAAUCCAAUUUCUCUCUGAAGGUGGAUGACAGCAGCUUCUCCAAAUGGACAGAUGAGAAAUUCAACUACUGGAUGGAUUAGUGGGCAGCCUACUGGUUACUGGACUCAUCCAUUUAUUUACAGUUGGCUUCAAUGAAUGUGGCUGGCUCUUGUUCCUGACUCUCCAGGCAGCCCAGCCCUCAGCCCUCAAGACCCUGCAGUCAGUGUGUCUGGAUGUCCCAGGGCCUCUCAUUGCCCCAGAAGAGGCUGCUGCCCUUCUCCUGGUUCCCAGCGCUUCCCUCACACCCCUGGGCUAUGGGGCUCUAUCACACCCUCCAAGGAGCAUCCCUGGAGCUGGCUGUCAGGACGUGGAGGGCUGCAAAUAGCAGGACAGCUGCAGCUGGAGGUG